rnacentral:lncRNA from 1 species
CCUAGAACCAGUGCUCUUGUUUAAGCACCUGUGGUUGGUUUGUGUCCCUGUGCAUUCUGCAGCCUACUGUCUCGGUGCUCCCCAUGUCCUGGGUGACAGUAGUGGGAGAUCAGAAGCAUCGUGUCCUGGGUGACAGUAGUGGGAGAUCGGAAGCAUCGUGUCCUGGGUGACAGUAGUGGGAGAUCGGAAGCAUCGUGUCCUGGGUGACAGUAGUGGGAGAUCGGAAGCAUCGUGUCCUGGGUGACAGUAGUGGGAGAUCGGAAGCAUCGUGUCCUGGGUGACAGUAGUGGGAGAUCGGAAGCAUCGUGUCCUGGGUGACAGUAGUGGGAGAUCAGAAGCAUCGUGUCCUGGGUGACAGUAGUGGUAGAUCAGAAGCAUCGUGUCCUGGGUGACAGUAGUGGGAGGUCAGAAGCAUCGUGUCCUGGGUGACAGUAGUGGGAGGUCAGAAGCAUCGUGUCCUGGGUGACAGUAGUGGGAGGUCAGAAGCAUCGUGUCCUGGGUGACAGUAGUGGGAGGUCAGAAGCAUCGUGUCCUGGGUGACAGUAGUGGGAGGUCAGAAGCAUCGUGUCCUGGGUGACAGUAGUGGGAGGUCGGAAGCAUCGUGUCCUGGGUGACAGUAGUGGGAGGUCAGAAGCACGUGUCCUGGGUGACAGUAGUGGGAGAUCGGAAGCAUCGGCGGCGUGGCAGACCACUGGUUCAACAGCCUCUCAUCUGCUUGGCCUGUCCAACGGGCCUGUUUGGAUUGGGACGGCCCAUAAAGUUCAGUGUGGAGUUAAAUUGUCACUGUCAGACAGGAGCUGUUUACCGUUACUCGUUACACCCCGAUGAUUUAUCAGGUUUUCC